UGCCGGCAAAUGGUUUGGAGAUCCAGAAGAAGAAAUAAAUGGAAAUAUGUCAUACCGCGACAACCAGGACCCAGGAGCAGAAGAACUAAGAAAACUAAGAAUUAAGGACAGAUGAAGGAAGAUGUGGUGAAUUUGAGCCCGAUGAUCAAUCGUGCAGACUGCACACAAGACAACACAUAUAAACAUGAUGCAACCGAAGCAAGGAACAUUAAAUAAGAAGCAAUUGGCAGGACCUUCACUA